rnacentral:lncRNA from 1 species
CACGCUAAAAACUGAUUGUCACCAGGAGGCUUCUUCUGAAGAUGAGGAUAGAUUUUGAUUAUUUAGACAUGCCCAUGUCUCAGAAGCUGCUGCCUGUACCAGGCUGACCGACAGGAUAGUAUCCUCACAGCCCACCGUACCAUAUUCUGAUGAAGUCUGGGGUCUGCGGAGUGCAGCCAGCAACAUGAACUCCAGCCCUGUACCUGCCGCUCUCAAGAGCUCUCUGCACACUGUGUAAGCACACAGCAAGAUAUUUUGUACUUCCUACUUGACUGCCCAGUCAUCCCUUUGAAAGUGGGAGAAAGCUCAAGUAACAGUGAGACCGGGAACUCAG